GACGUCAGCGCGCUUUGAUGACGUGGACACAAACCGCGCUUACAUGAAAGCGAUUUUCUGCCACGUCAGCAAAGCGCACUGACGUGG
rfam:Gossypium hirsutum cultivar TM-1 chromosome 21, whole genome shotgun sequence